rnacentral:lncRNA from 1 species
AGGUGUUCAGAGAAAGUGUGGGAAAACCCAUAUUUCUGCAUUGUCAUUCGAACACAGAAAACACAGGAGGAAAAUGAGCUGUCACUCCAAUUCCCAUGAUGCCUUGCUGCUUAGCAUAACUCUACAGUGCGGCCCUGGGUCCACUGGUCCAUACUCUGACAGAUAAUUAAGAAAGCAGCAGCUUUUUCUAGACGGCUCUUCCUCAUGAUUUGCAUUUUAGCCAGAGGCGACCAGUUAUAAAAAAAACAUGAUGGAAAGAUGGUAAGAAGCCAAUUAGAUGGAUGGAUGGCUGACUGACAGCUCUCUGGUAUCACGACUCCAGAUUUCAGACUACAUAGCCUGGCAGUUUUCUACAAGAACCAACUUUUUUGCAGAUGCAUGCUGA